GAUUCAGGUUUGGCAGCAGAGCACUGAGACUUGGGUGGAAGCUUUGUUGUAGAGCUGUCCCAGGGGGUGAAGACUCGAACAGUGGUAGAAGAUUAGUGGAUGCACACUUUGUGAAUGGUCCAUCGUUACACUAUCACUGCCUUAGUGAGACAAGAAAUAACCAUUUGAAGGAAGCCAAAGAGAGGCUUCUUUCUCCCAAGACAAGCAACAUAAACUAUAAGGAUGAGGCAAACGCGCCCACUUUAUAGUUUUAUGCUCAGGCUAAGAGAAAAUGAAGACAUCAUAGGUCCUAACUGAUCAGGUACUCCACUGAAGAGCUAAUGAAAACUGGUUAAAAUGAAUGAAAGCAUGGCAUUUGGAUUAAGAAACAAGCUGUCAAGGCAGAGAGCGCACCGGAGACAAAGAGAAGAUCAUUUGGACAGGUAAAGACCCUGAAAUCACC